rnacentral:rRNA from 1 species
ACGCACGCUGGCGGCGUGCUUAACCCCUGCCAGUCGAACGGAAAGGCCCUGCUUUUGUGGGGUGCUCGAGUGGCGAACGGGUGAGUAACACGUGAGUAACCUGCCCUUGACUUUGGGAUAACUUCAGGAAACUGGGGCUAAUACCGGAUAGGAGCUCCUGCUGCAUGGUGGGGGUUGGAAAGUUUCGGCGGUUGGGGAUGGACUCGCGGCUUAUCAGCUUGUUGGUGGGGUAGUGGCUUACCAAGGCUUUGACGGGUAGCCGGCCUGAGAGGGUGACCGGCCACAUUGGGACUGAGAUACGGCCCAGACUCCUACGGGAGGCAGCAGUGGGGAAUAUUGCACAAUGGGCGGAAGCCUGAUGCAGCAACGCCGCGUGCGGGAUGACGGCCUUCGGGUUGUAAACCGCUUUCGCCUGUGACGAAGCGUGAGUGACGGUAAUGGGUAAAGAAGCACCGGCUAACUACGUG